rnacentral:ncRNA from 1 species
GUCAUAAGAUUUCCCAAAAAUCAAUCUCAAUGAAGAGGGUGUUGAAAUCAAGGAAACAUUUGAGGGCAUUCCAUGACUUUUUCCCCUUCAAGCAAUAUCACAGACAACCUUCCAUCCAAAGUCAACAAAAUUGAAACCCGUUUUUGAGAGUUGUUGGUGCCUCAUCCUAUAACUGACGGCAAUGUUAGGAAAUCCGGAGACAUCAUCUGGGGCCCCAAGAAGACUUAACUUUUCUUUUUAACAGCUUUCCCACCCUGAAAUCGGCUCAACCGGAGAUAGGGACUAGUAGUUGGAAGAGCAUCGCACAUCUUGCGGUGUUCGGUGCACCCUCGGUGGCCCUUGAAAAUAUGGAGGACCAAGUACCAUCCAUGCCUGUUCAUACUCAUAAUCGCAUCAGGUCUCCAAGGUGAACAACCUC